AUGGAGGCGGUGAGCAUGAUCCUGGCGCUGGCGCGGAAGAUCGCCAAGGCGGCCGAGACGGCCCGCCAGAACAAGGAGAGGUGCCUGGACCUCGCCGACCGCGCACGCACCGCCGGCGACAUCCUGCUCGAGGACCACGACUCCAGUGCGAGCAUGAUAGAUGGCAGCGGAGACAGCGCAGCCGGCCUGAUCCGGAACCCCGCGCUGGCGAGGCUGAAGGCCGCCCUCGACAACGCACUGGAGCUCGUUGAGUCCCAGCCGCAGAGCGGCGGCCUCGGCUGGGGGGUCGCCUUGCUAACCAGCGGCACGGUGGCCGCCCGGUUCCAGCUCGUCGAGGCGAGGAUCUCCAACUGUGUCGGGGACCUCGGCCUCGCGGAGCUCGUUGCCGCUCGCCACCGUGCCCACGAUGCCAAUACAAGAGCCACGCUCUCUCUGCUCCGGCGCGUGCUGCCUAAGCAGUCUGCGCCGUCGCCGCAACCGCAGGCGCAGGGCGAGGUUGUGAAGUCCUUGCUGACGUGCCAAUGUAAGCACCCUACGCCAACGCCGCCGCAGCAAGGGAAGAUCGUGGAAUCCUUGCUGACGCGCCAACAUAAGCACUCUGCACCAACGCCACCACAGCAAGGGGAGGUCGUGGAGUCCUUGUUGACGCGCCAACGUAAGCACUCUACACCAACACCGCCGCAGCAAGGGGAGGUCGUGGAGUCCUUGCUGACGCGCCAACAUCAGCACUCUGCGCCAACGCCGCCGCAGCAAGGGAAGAUCAUGGAAUCCUUGCUGGCGCGCCAACAUAAGCACUCUGCACCAACGCCACCACAGCAAGGGAAGGUCGUGGAGUCCUUGCUGACGCGCCAAUGUAAGCACUCUGCACCAACACCGCCGCGACAAGGGGAGGUCGUGGAGUCCUUGCUGACGCGCCAACGUCAGCACCCUACGUCAACGCUGCCGCAGCAAGGCGAGGUCGUGGAGGCCUUGUGGACGCGCCUCCGUGAGCAGCCCGCUGUCGAGUCCGGUGUUAACAGUUAA
rnacentral:rRNA from 1 species